ensembl:lncRNA
CUCUUUACUCCGAUCCAAACCCCAAAAGAAACAACUCUCUAAGGCUAAUCAAACCCCCCGUGACUGGAAAAUAACAGCUACAUCAUAGCUCAGGUACACGUGGGAAGAAAAAGUCUUUUCCAGGGAGAGCUACUUCAUUUUGGAAGAAAGAAUAGACUGCGAGAACUACUAGAGCCUGGGCCAUUCAGCACUAUUCCUGAGUUCAUCGAUAGUUAUUGGGGACAACCUUAGGAUGAUGAAAAUAAGCCAAGAAGACACUGAGAGGCUGUGGAAAAAAUACCAAGGAUUGGCUGGUUUGAUCUCCUUGCAGUCCAAAGAAGUCUCAAGAGUCUUCUUCAGCACCACAAUUUGAAAAUAUCAAUUCUCUGACACAGCUUUCUUCGUGGUCUAACCCUUAUAUCUGUACAUGACUACUGUAAAACCAUGGCUUUGAUUAUAUGGACCUUUGUUGGCAAAGUGAUGUCUCUGCUUUUUAAUACACUGUUUGGGUUUGUCAUAGUUUUCCUUCAAAGAAGCAAGCGUCUUUUAAUUUCUUGGCUGCAGUCACUGUCCACAGUGAUUUUGCUGCUAAGUCACUUCAGUCGUGUCUGACUUUGUGCGACCC